GUUGUAUCUCAGAAAAUUAGAUUGUUUGUUUGUUUGUUUUUGAAGUUAGUAAAAACUCUGUGCUGACAAGUCUUUUAAUGCUUUAGAGAAAGUGGGUUAUUGAAAUAUAGAAGAGGUGACUGCGAAGCACACACAGAGUGAUGAAAAUUGCCUGUUUGGUUCCAGUGGUAUCUCUACUGUCAAUGGAAAUGUUCUUAUAUCUAGGAGUAGCUUAAAUGGAGGGGAGUCAAUCUUGUGAACAAAUCUCAGUAACUAGUCGAGAAACAGUUUCAUCAGGUUACCUGGUAAAGACUUAAUUUUACUCAGUGAUUUAUUGAUUUUUUUUUUUUUUUUAGCAUUUACCUGACACACGCUUUCUGUGUGGUUGUUUAGGGGAUAUAUAUGAAAAUAAGCAUUAAUGAAAUUGCCUUUUCAUCAUUGUCUUUGAUCAGAAGUGUGUUUUUAUCACCUCAAGUUCUGAUGAUGACAUGUCAAAGAAACACUUCCCCAGACUCACUUCCAGGAAGUAAGAGAGAUUUCUCGGGUUUCCUUGGUCUAAUGCCUUGCAAAAGCAUAAAGCCAAAACAAAGGGAGACAGACUUCCUUGGCUGUAUUCUGGCCAUAAAUUGUACCAUAGUAUCUGAAAUGUCUGCAAGACUCUGACCACGUAACUCCAAACUGCAGUGAUCAGAGAUGACACAGGACUCCGUGUUUGCAAGUGAAAGUUUGCACAUCUGUUUUCUAUGAUGCAUUGGGCUGACAAGAGAUGGAGGAUCUGAUGGCAUCCUAUGUGGCUUACAUUCUAGCCACCUGCUAUUGCCAACUAUCAAGCCAUAUUGCCUCCCUUCCCCAUUCUUGGUUUUUUUUUCAUCCAAAUAUAUUAAGUUCACCUUAAGGUUAGUUAGAUUUUUCUACUACUGUGACGGAGUGUGCCAAAGUAUGAAAGCAUGGUUACUUUGAAGCCUUGAUUUAAUUGCAGUCUAAAUAUAUUCUUGAACAUCUUAUGUUGUGCAUGUGUUAUUCUUUCAUUUGAAUAGCUUUACCUUUCCCUUAACUUUUAUUUGUUCAUACCAAGAUCUUGUAAGACAGCCUUCUUCAUUCCCCUAAAUGUCCUAGCAGCCCCUCUUGGCAGCUUGUCCACUUUGAGUUGAUCCAUCUUGAACUUGUUGGACCAGGUCUUAUCACUACGUGUUAUGAAGAUACUAACAUAUUCCUUUCUCUGCAUCUUAGGAUCCUGUAUCUUCUUCCAUUCAUGUCUGAUAUACAUUGACUGAUAUACCUAC
rnacentral:lncRNA from 1 species